AGAGUUUGAUCUUGGCUCAGGACGAACGUUGGCGGCGUGUCUAAGGCAUGCAAGUCGAGGGCUCCACCUUCGGGUGGGACCGGCAGACGGGUGAGUAACACAUUGGUAACCUACCUCUAAGACGGGGAUAGCCCACCGAAAGGUGGAUUAAUACCCGAUAGUCAUGAAUUGUCAUAAGGCAAUUUAUGUAAAUCCUUUUGGGCUUAGAGAGGGGCCUAUGGCUGAUUAGCUUGUUGGUAGGGUAAAAGCCUACCAAGGCUAUGAUCAGUAGCAGGCGUGAGAGCGUGACCCGCCUCACUGGGACUGAGACACUGCCCAGACUCCUACGGGAGGCUGCAGUCAAGAAUAUUCCGCAAUGCGCGAAAGCGUGACGGAGCGACGCCGCGUGCAGGAAGACGCCCUUCGGGGUGUAAACUGCUUUUAUUAGGGAAGAAUUUGUGACGGUACCUAAUGAAUAAGAGGUUGCUAACUCUGUGCCAUCAGCAGCGGUAAUACAGAGACCUCAAACGUUGUCCGGAUUUAUUGGGCGUAAAGGGUCCGCAGGUGGUUUGGUAAGUUGACGGUUAAAUCUUGAAGCUUAACUUCGAGACCGCCGUCAAUACUGUCAAACUUGAGGCUGGGAGAGGCAAGCGGAACAAUGGGUGUAGUCGUAAUAAGCGCUGAUAUCCAUUGGAACACCAAAGGCGAAGGCAGCUUGCUAGAACAAGCCUGACACUCAGGGACGAAAGCGUGGGUAGCGAAUGGGAUUAGAUACCCCAGUAGUCCACGCCCUAAACGAUGCGCACUAGGUAUUGGGAGUAUCGACCCUCUCAGUGCCGUUCGAAAAAAGCUAACGCGUUAAGUGCGCCGCCUGGGGAGUACGGCCGCAAGGCUAAAACUCAAAGGAAUAGACGGGGACCCGCACAAGCGGUGGAUCAUGUGGUUUAAUUCGACGAUACGCGGCGAACCUUACCUGGGUUUGACAUAUAGCUGCAUGCCCCCUGAAAAGGGGGAGGCCUUCGAGGGUGCUAUACAGGUGCUGCAUGGUUGCCGUCAGCUCGUGCCGUGAGGUGUACCCUUAAGUGGGGUAACGAGCGCAACCCUCGCCCUGUGUUAAAUUGUACACAGGGGACUGCCGGCGCAAGCCGGAGGAAGGUGGGGACGACGUCAAAUCAGCAUGGCUCUUACAUCCAGGGCGACACACAUGAUACAAUGGCCAGUACAACGGGUAGCCAAACCGCGAGGUGGAGCUAAUCCUUUAAAGCUGGUCUCAGUUCGGAUUGAAGGCUGCAACUCGCCUUCAUGAAGUUGGAAUCGCUAGUAAACGCGCAUCAGCCACGGCGCGUUGAAUACGUUCUCGGGUCUUGUACUCACCGCCCGUCAUACCACGAAAGUUGGCAAUACCCAAAGCCCCCGC
rnacentral:rRNA from 1 species